GUCUCCAAAUCAACCAGUACCAAAUCCAACAACGGUAGAGGAAAGUUUGAAGCCCUGCAUCAAACUCUUACCCUCCCGCACUCUCAGGCCGCCCUCACGCCGCACAUCACGAUCAGCCCGCCCCUCCCGCCAAAACACCGGUCGCGGCUGCUUCCACGCAGGAACCAUGGCAGGACGUCGGCUCCGCCAGAUCUGACGCCGGAACAUCAUCAUGGAUUUUUUUUUUGUCGACCGUGAUCCGAUGUAGGAAUACAUGAACGUCGGAUCCGACGUCACGCGCAGGAACUGCGGCAGCAGGCCUGCGUCGGCGCCUCCUCUAGAACCGCGGCAGGAGAUCCCAUGCAGAAACGUCACGAUCUACGCUCGCGCCGGCGCCAGGAACCACACUGGACAGGCACCUUGUGUAUGGAAUUUUUUUCUUAAAGCAUCAUUGUCUUUGUUUUGUAGUGAGUGGUGAGUACUCUAGGCUCUAGCUGUCCACUUUGUGUGGAGCUGACAUUUACUGCACUUGCGAUCCAAACUGAUCUUCUGUUUGCCUUUUCUUCUUGCUAGCUAGGUUUUUGGUAUUGAUAUCUCCGCAUCUAUUUGGCUCUAGAUUUAGGUAUAGCACCAAAUUAGUAUAAAAGAUUCUUUAGGAAUAAACGUAUCAUUGAUAGGUGCUACUAUCCCUCAGAAUUCGAGCAACGAGUGAUCAAUUGUAUAGCUGUUGAGUUUUGGCUGAGCUGGUUGUCUGUUAUUCAAAUUCAAAUUCUAACAAUAAUUGGAAAACUGAGAGGGAGGAAGUUCUCCGGUUUAGAUAAUUGUUUUCUGCAGUUAUUUCGUGGGUCAUUUGAAAAUAUAACUUUUCCUAACAAUUUGGUGUGUUCAAAACUCGACAGCAGCCACCGGACGAGGGGGGUAGGCCUCAACAUGAACAUCAGGCCAGGAACCGCGCGAACACUGAGGGUCCUGUGUCGAUCGGCCUCGACCUGAACAUCAGGGCCUCGACGCGAACAUCAGGGUCCUUUUAUUGUUCGCUAACGAAAAAGCCUACAAUUUCGAGGGCGCCGUCGACUUAGCGUUCGUUGAUGCCGAAAAGGAAAACUACAGCAGAUAACACGAGCGGCUAUUGCGGCUGAUCCGCAGCCGCGGCAUCCUUGCCUACGACAACACGUUAGGACGUCGCAAGUCCAGGUCGAAAGAUACACGCGAGACGCUAAGCGACAUCACCAACAUCUUUGGUACAACUACUUUUAGUAAUUUAAACUACUUUUAGUAAAUCAAAUAUCAUUACAAACUCAUAAUUUGGUCUAUAUAAUGUGCAACCAUUUACUUUUGGUCUGGGUAAAAAAGUUCCAGCCGCCCUUUAUGCAAGAAGAAAAAACAUGUUAAUAACUGAUUUUUCUUUAUGUUAAAUAAAAUGACUGUACCUGUGUUUAAGCUUUCCUUGAAGAUGCCCAACCUAGCAUCAAAGUCUCCAUGGGCACAUAGCUCUGCUAACAUGUGCUUGUACGUGUAAGCAUCUGCCGAGCACCCUUUCUCAGCUAGGGAGUUCCAGUCUAGCAGUCUGAUUAUAAAGUUCCAAUCUAGCAGAUUGAUUAUAAAAGGACAGUUUUUUUAAUCAUAAUUGGGUGAAUUAUAAAAUAAUAAAUUUAUUUCUUUCGCAAAUGAUUCUUUUAUCCAAGUGUGGGGGUAUAAACCCCUAUACCCUUACGGCUAGACUUCGGCCAGGAGGCUUGGCCCAUUACGAGACGAGUUCAAGGCUUGAUCCGACAACCUGGAGUUUCGCGCAAGGAAACAAGAUGUGGAGAUCAAGCAGGAUUCUAGUCGGUUAGAAUAGGAAUUGAUAUCGAAUUAUCCAUGGCAAUUGUAACCGACUAGGAUUAGUUUCCAGAUCUGUAACCCUGCCCUCCAGACUAUAUAAGGAGGGGCAAGGGACCCCCCUAGGACAUUAUAUUCUCUCAACACAAAUCAAUACAACCAGACGCAGGACGUAGGUAUUACGCCAACUCGGCGGCCGAACCUGAAUAAAAAGCUUGUCCGUGUCUUGCGUCACCAUCGAGUUCGUAGUUUGCGCACCGUGUACCGAUAAACUACUACCGUGGGUAUACCCCAAGGUAGACUGCCGACCAGCUUUCGUCGACAGUGGCGCGCCAGGUAGGGGGUGUGCGUGCAACUUUUCCGGCGAACAAGAUGGUCACGAUCCCAGCUUCCGCGACCGUGCCUGAAGGCCUCACAUUCACCGUUGGCCAGAUCACGUGGACGACGUGCAGCGGCGGCCUCACGACCACGGUUUCGAAAGAGACCCAGAUCCAAUCUGAGAUCACGCCGUCUCCGACCACACACGUGGCGGCACCGAGCGCCCGACCACCGUUCCCGCUCUACAAGCGCUUGAUCGCGUUGACUCCAAGCUACUCGAAGUUUCCCAACUAGUAGACGGAGUUCUGCGUCGGCCCGACCAAGCUGCUCCAGCGGAUUUUUUCAAAUCCCGCCGGCCAACUCGUGUCACCACACACGAACGGCUGGGAACGUCUCUGACGAUAACCUCAACACCCUCAGGACGAUCCGUCGAGCUCAAGAAGGAAGAUUAUCCUUGCGGCCUGAACAACUCGGCCUCUGUUUACUCACAGCACACCCAAUCCGUUUUCAGCAAGGCGGGUUGGUCGCCGACAAGGAACGAUCGUCACUACGUCAACAUGGUGGCAAUCCGAGAACUACGGGACGGCCAAGUUUCCAGCACCAACUCAAGCACCGGUUCCGUCCCCACCGAGGUUAUAAACACCGAAGACGAGGACUACGACCUGGAUUUUCCUUCACACCCUCCGGGUUUCAACCGAUUCCCGAUAUUUCCCCCCCGGCGAGGAGAUAUUGUGUUCAAUGUCAGCGCCGACGAACCGGUCGUUGAUGGAGAAACAGAUGACCAGAGGCAACUCCGCGAACAGGGCAACGCCGAUCGCGCCCGACGACGCGCAGACGAGCAACAACAAAUGCCACCAAAUGAUCUCAACGAUGCCUUUGACAUGGUCGGGGACCAGCCAGUCUACAAAACGCCAAGCGCCAACGUGGCUGUCGCCAUGGCUAACCUAGAUCGGCUUCCUGAUACCCCCUAGUGCCAGGGAGUCCGGACCAGCAUCCGAGCACACCUGAUCGCUGCAAUGGGACAGACAGUCACUCUGCUCAAGAGAGUCCAGGACGUCUCUUAUACGGAAGCCGCCUCCGACCAGACUAAUCGUAGCCGGGCCUCACCGUCUCCCAGCAGGCGUCACCGCAGCCGCUCUCCCGACAACCGUCGAAAGGACUCACGGCGCGACGAUGGUGGUCGGGACGCCGACGGUCGCCGCAAGCAGAACCGCGUACGCGGCCAAGAAGUAAACCAGCACAGGGAUCUCCGCCACAACAUCCCUCCCAAAGAUGCCCGGGACCGCAUCAACAGGCGCGCCACAGAGAGAGCAGUCCACGAAAACCUGCGCCGCAUCGAAUACGAUGCAACGCACGGUCCUCCGGGCCUAAGACAGUUCUCCUCACACCUCCGCCAGGUCGUGUGGCCCCGCAAUUUCAAGCUCGAAAAACUUAAAAAAUACGACGGCAAGGAAAAUCCAGAGAACUGGAUCACCCUCUACGAAAUCGCCGUCCGAUCAGCGGCAGGGGAUGAGCACGUCAUGGCUAACUACUUCCCCGUAGUCCUCGACCAGGCUGGUCAUCAGUGGCUUCUUGGCUUGCCUGAGGACUCCUUCGACUCUUGGGAAGAGCUACGCCAGGCUUUCAUCGACAACUUCAUCGCCACAUGCGAGCAGCCUGGAAACAAGUAUGACCUUGAAAGGAUAAGGGACAGGAAGAACGAACCUCUGCGCGAUUACAUCCGACGAUUCUCGGAUAUGCGCCUCAAAAUCCCGAAAAUUUCCCACGACGAGGCCAUCUCAGCCUUCAUCAAGGGCCUGCGUUUCCACGAAGCGCUGAGGAACAAGCUGUUGCGUAAACGUCCAACAACGGUAGCAGAGCUCCUCGCCACGGCCAAAAAUUACGCCGAUGCCGACGACGCAGAAAAACUAAUCCGAGACGAUGCGAGAGGUCCCGACCAGCCUCCCCGGUGAGAUUACGGUCGUGGUCGCUACGACAGCAGAAACCACCGCCGCUCCGACAACCGCGAUCACCGAGAGGGUUGGGAUCGGCGGCGCGACAACCGCGACGAUUUCAGAGGAAAGCGCCCUCGCGACUACGACCACGAAGUAAACACGGUCAAGCGUCCCAACGGACGACGGGACUACCAAGAAGACUACAACAAAACGUUGAAGGGACCAUGCCAACUGCACCCAAAGUCUAAUCAUACCAUGGAAGAGUGCCGCGUCCUCAAAAGCAUCUAUACACGGCGGGCCGCCCAAGACGACUCCGCCAAGAAAAACAACAAGCGAGACGGGCACGACCACGAAGAUGAGGACGAGGACCAAGAUAGGGACCCCCGACACCAGUACGUCAGCCCCACCGACGUGGUCCACUCCAUUUUCGGGGGCAAGGUCUCCAUUGAAUCUAAGCGAGAAAGAAAGCUGUUAAAGAGAGCCUGCCUCAACAUAGACAGCACGGACGGGCUGAUCGCAGACCCAAAAUUCCCCCCGUGGUCCCACAGGGAGAUCUCGUUCAGCAGGAAGGACCAGUGGGCCGCUAUCCCAGAGCCGGGUCGUUUCCCCCUGAUUCUGGACCCUUGCAUCAACAGCAUCAGAUUCGAGCGCGUGCCCGUGGACGGGGGAAGCUCCAUUGAUAUCCUCUUUCGCAACAGCCUGCCCGCCCUCAAGAUAUCUCCUGCACAACUAAAACCUUACGACGCCCAAUUUUGGGGGGUUUUGCCGGGUCAAAGUUCAGUGCCUCUCGGACAGAUAACAUUGCCUGUCCAAUUCGGCACACCCGACCACUUCCGGACGGAGUUCAUCAACUUCGUGGUCGCCGAUUUCGACGGGACCUAUCACGCUAUACUGGGCCGACCAUCGCUGACAAAGUUCAUGGCAGUCCCGCACUACUCAUACCUGGUCCUUAAGAUGCCUACGGAGAAGGGUGUCCUAACCGUCAGAGGCAAUGUUUACACUGCGUAUACCUGCGAAGAGGAGAGCUUCAAGAUCACCGAAGCAAUCGACCUCUCAAUCCGCAUGGCAGAAACAGCAACUCAAGCCGCGCAGCUGCUUCCCGACCAGCUCCGAUUACCUGAGCAGGAGACAGCCAGAAAGAACUCAAAAUCCAAGGAGCACAAAGAAGUACAACUGGUCGAUGGCAGCCCCGAGAAGACGGCCCUCAUCGGGGCCAACCUGGAUCCAAAAUAGGAAGACGCGCUCGUCAGGUUUCUAAGGGACAACGUAAGCGUUUUCGCAUGGAAACCCGCAGACAUGCCCGGCGUCCCACGAAACCUGAUCGAGCACUCCUUAAAUGUCUCGAAGACCGCAAGACCAAUCAAGCAAAAGCUGCGACGGUUCGCUCGUGACAAAAAGGAGGCUAUUAGGACAGAAAUCACACGGCUUCUAGCAGCCGGAUUCAUAAAAGAAGUGUAUCACCCCGAUUGGCUCGCCAAUCCGGUUCUUGUACGCAAAAAGAAUAAUGAAUGGAGAAUGUGCGUUGAUUACACUGAUCUCAAUAAACACUAUCCUAAAGAUCCUUUUGGUCUCCCUCGCAUCGACGAGGUGGUCGACUCAACGGCCGGAUGCGAACUCCUCUCCUUUCUAGACUGCUACUCUGGUUAUCACCAGAUUUCGCUAAAGGAAGAAGAUCAGAUCAAAACGUCUUUUAUUACACCUUUCGGCGCAUACUGCUACACGACCAUGUCUUUCGGACUCAAAAACGCCGGAGCCACUUAUCAAAGGGCCAUCCAGCAAUGCCUCCACGACGAGAUUCGUGAUGACCUCGUCGAGGCCUAUGUGGACGACGUGGUCGUAAAAACAAGGGACGCGAGCACCCUAAUCGACAACUUAGACCGAACUUUCAAGGCACUCAAUAGGUACAAGUGGAAGCUCAACCCCAAGAAAUGCAUUUUCGGCGUUCCUUCCGGUCUACUGCUCGGCAACGUUGUCAGUCGCGACGGCAUACGACCAAACCCUUCAAAAGUAAAGGCGGUACUCGACAUGCGACCACCGAAGAACGUAAAGGAUAUCCAAAAGCUAACCGGAUGUAUGGCCGCCCUCAGUCGCUUCAUCUCAAGGCUAGGAGAAAAAGGCCUCCCUUUCUUCAAACUAUUAAAAGCGUCGGAAAAAUUUUCUUGGACAGAAGAAGCCGACACCGCAUUCAACCAGCUUAAGACCUUCCUCACUUCACCACCUGUCCUUACAGCGCCUCAGCCCAAUGAAGACCUACUCCUUUACAUUGCUGCAACCGACAGGGUUGUUUCCACGGUAAUAGUGGUCGAGCGAGGUGGACCAGGUCACGCCUACAAGGUCCAGAGACCAGUUUACUUCAUAAGUGAAGUCUUAAACGAGUCCAAGGCCAGGUAUCCACAAAUACAGAAGCUCAUAUACGCCAUUCUAAUAACGUCAAGAAAGCUGAAGCACUACUUCGACGGCCAUCGAGUCCUGGUGACAACCAGUUUCCCUCUCGGGGACAUCCUGCGCAAUAAAGACGCCAAUGGCAGAAUCGUGAAAUGGGCAAUGGAAUUAUGUCCAUUUUCCCUGGAGUUCCAGAGUCGCACCACUGUCAAGUCUCAGGCCCUGGUCGAUUUCAUUGCUGAAUGGACGGAUCUCAACGAGCCUUCCGUUCCCGAUGUCUCAGACCACUGGUCAAUGUUCUUUGACGGGUCCUUGAACAUCAACGGUGCCGGCGCUGGGAUACUGUUCGUAUCACCCAACAAGGACAAACUGCGUUACGUCCUUCGGAUCCUUUUUCCGGCGUCAAACAACGUCGCCGAAUACGAAGCAUGCUUGCAUGGCAUAAGACUAGCCGUUGAGCUGGGAGUCAAGCGCCUCUAUGUCUAUGGCGACUCCGCUUUGGUCAUCAACUAGCUCAACAAGGAGUGGGACGCAACCCACGAGAAGAUGGAUCUCUACUGCAAAGAAAUUCGCAAAUGGGAAACCAACUUCUACGGCAUAGAGUACAUCCACGUGGUCCGGGAUAAGAACCAAGCAGCAGAUGCGUUGUCGAAGUUAGGCUCAUCUCGGGCCCAGAUCCCGCGGGGUAUUUUCGUCCAGGACAUCCACGAGCCGAGCGUAGGCUCCUCCCUGGUCGACAAGCAACCCACCGAGGCAAUGCUCAUAGACGACGCCACUCCGACAACCGGUGGGCGUGACUGGCGUACCCCGUUCAUCAAAUACAUAUCGGACGGGACAGGCCUUCAGGACAAAACAGAGAACGAGCGCCUCAUUCGACGAUCAAAGAACUACAUCCUGGUCGACGGCCAACUCAUGCAGAAAAACGCAAGCUCCGAAGUACUGCUCAAGUGCAUACCCCAAGAUGAUGGUAUCAAGCUCUUAGAAGACAUACAUGCUGGAUCCUGCGGCAAUCACGCCGCAUCCAGAACGCUGGUCGGAAAGGCUUUCCGAGCAGGUUUUUAUUGGCCAACCGCGGUCGGCGACGCAGAAAAACUGGUUCGACAUUGCGAAGGAUGUCAGUUUUUCGCUAAGAGGACUCACGUACCUGCCCAUGAAAUUCAAACCAUCCCGUCGUCUUGGCCCUUUGCUUGCUGGGGGCUUGACAUGAUCGGGCCAUUUAAACCAGCCCCGGGCAAUUUCAAGUUUGUUUUCGUGUUAAUCGACAAGUUCUCCAAGUGGAUUGAAUACAUGCCUCUGGUCAAGGCAACCUCCGAGAAGGCUGUGGAGUUCCUCAAUCAAAUCAUACACAGAUUCGGCAUCCCGAACAGCAUAAUCACCGACCUGGGCACUCAGUUUACUGGCACCACUUUUUGGGACUUCUGCGAUGACAGAGGCAUAGUCAUAAAAUACGUGUCAGUAGCGCAUCCACGUGCCAACGGUCAAGUUGAACGUGCUAACGGAAUGAUCGUUGACGCCCUAAAGAAAAGGUUGUACACCGAAAACGACAGAGCACCCGGUCGAUGGAUGAAAGAAUUGCCGGCAGUGGUCUGGGGCCUCCGAACUCAGACCAGUCGAAACACAGAGGUGUCUCCCUACUUCAUGGUGUACGGUUCAGAGGCGGUCCUGCCGUCUGACAUACACUUCGGAUCUCCUAGAAUCGAACACUUCGACCAGGCGACCGCCGACAACGCCAGAGAACUCGAAAUCAAUUGCAUGGAGGAAAAGCGUUUAGACUCUUGUCUCCGAACAGCAAAAUAUCUCGCGGCAGUCAGGCGAUACUACAACAGGAACGUCAAGGACCGUUCCUUCGUGGUCGGCGAUCUGGUACUUCGAUGGAAAACAUGCCAGGAGGGAAUGCACAAGCUAUCCACUCCCUAGGAAGGACCCUUCGUGGUGACCGAGGUCACACGACCUACGUCCUACAGAUUGGCGUACCCAGACGGAACACGAGUGCCUAACUCUUGGCACAUAGACAAACUGCGACGUUUCUAUCCAUAAAGUUUUAAUAACUUUCCUUUGUAAGUAUCUUAUAAUUGUUAAUAACGAAAUUCUCUACUUUUUUGCCUAUACCUUGUCGCACACAGCACUCGGCAAAACUUCUGCAAUGGAUGCUCUUAACGACUACCAAGACGAAUACGGUGACACGUCACUCCGAUAAUCUUACAGCGCUCAAAACAACAGUCAUGACAAAAAGCAAACUUUAUUACAAACUUUACAUACAAAGUUUACAAUAAAUACCCUGACGGGCAGACACUAGUCUAUUCCUACAGACUACUCUAUCGGCCUAGCUGCUCGGGCUGAUCACCCGCCUGGCCCUGCUGCCCGGACGAAGGGGUCGGGGCCACCGGCGCCUGGCUGGUCGAGACCGCAGGCGUCGACCGCCCAUCUCCCGCAACGGACGCGCCCGACAACUCCCUGGCCGACCUAUCUGAACUCGGCUGGUCUGGGGGAGUGGCCGUUCCGCACAGAUUGAUGUCGCCGAUCACUGUUGACGACAAGUCCAGCAGACUACCCCGAAGCUCGUCCGCCUCCUGUGGGCCGACCUCCUUCGGGUACCCCUUCUCCAGCCUGCUCAAGUCGACCAGGGGGUAGUGGGCGCGCACCAUGCUGAGGACGUGCGCGCCGGCAAACUCCCCGGCGUCCUUCACGAACUGCUGGAGCCAGUCCCACGCCCGUUGCGUCUUCUCGACCGGGGUCAACUGUGGCGCGCGGGGCUGGCUCUCCGGGAGCUCGGGACUGAUCAAGUCUAGGACCGGGGACACUCCUUUCCAGAUCCUGCAACAGUUGACCUUCCAGGAGUCCCGGUCCUUGAUCAGAUCAUCCAGGUGCUUCUUGGCGUUCACCUUGAGCACUGCAAACGAAACAAAGCAUUAUUUUCGGCAUACCAAACAAACAAAGGGGCGGCAAGCAGCAGCUAACAAGGCGGCACCCAUUACCAGAUAAUUCCCGGUCCUUUCGACCCAAUUCCUCUCGUGCUCGCCGCCCGGACUCCAGCGCACCGGCGAGCUGUUGGCUGAGCGGCUCCUUCUCUUGUCGGAGGCGCGCCACCUCCUCCUCCAAGUCUGCGUGAAUCAUAAACGGGUCAGUAAAGCAAACUACACAAGUACACAAAGCUGCUCGGAGCGUGUGACUAACCUUCUCGUUGCCGGUACUGGUCGGCCAAGCGACGAGUGAGGUCGAAACGAUGCUCCUCUUGGGCGCUCAUCUCGGCCACCUUCUCCCCGACUUCCGACCGCAGCCGGUCUACCUCCGCGGCCAGGGCCUUGUUCUCGGCCACGACGCCUUCUAUCUGGUCAAAGCAUCGUUUCCGGUACUUCGCCGUUUUCAUUGCGCCCUACAAAGCGGACAUAUAACGACCAUGCAAGACAAGGCAUAGAAUGUACAGCAGUACAAAAAGUCGCUUACCUUGACUUCGUCGACGAGGCGCUUGGCCGCACGCUCCACCCUGGCGGCCUCCUCGGUCUCGGCGAGCUCUUCAUGCCCGAUAAAGUGAUCCCCGCGUUGGCGCCACACAUACACGUGUUGGCGGCCAUCACGGGGACGACCCUCAAUCUCCUCCACCUCGUCCUCGAAGGCCGCCUGAGCUUCCUCCUCCCACGCUGCGUUGCUUCCGGUAGCGGUCCCAGGCAUUACUGGUCCCCGGACCAGACCUGGGGAGCCUGCAGUCGAAGCGGCCCCUGCUCGGGGCGGUGUGGAGACUUCACCCUCCCCGGCGGGAGGAGGGGUCGGGGCCCUUCCCUCCCUUUCCGUGGUGCUGGCUGGGGGAGGCGUCCCCAUAGCCUCCUCAACCCUGGUCGGGCUGCUCAACGUAGCCGGUGCCGCGGCCAGGGACUCCUCGGCGCUUUCAGGCACGGCUGCAGCCGUAGGCUGCUCUGCGGUCUGCGGGGCCGCGUCUUCAGCAGCGCAAACCGGCUCACUCGUCCCCUGGCCAGCGGCAUGGCCAGGGUUGACAUCCGACGCCGUGCUAAAAGGAACAAAACUACAAUAAAAAAAACAUCGGUGAAAUACGUAAGUUGAACACUUACAGGUUUGAGCGGCGGUGGGUCGCGGUAAACCUCCUUCUCGUCCGACCAGUCGGCACCUGUGCUCCCGACUCCCCAGCGCGAGGCGCAGGUGGAUCGACGGCCACACGGUCGGCAGUGGUCGCCCCGCCGUCCGGACGGCUAGGAGGCCUCCGGACCAACGACGGAACGGCCUCCUCCUCCUCCUCCUCGUCGUCGAUCCGAACGAACCGACGCCGCUUCGGCGCUCGGCUGCUCUCCGCCGGCAGUGUCGGCAUCGGCGACGGAUCCACAGGCAUUGGCCUUUUCCCCGACACCCUUUCCUCGGUCGUUGGGACGGGGCGGGCUUGUUCCUCCUCACUGCUGGUGUAAUGAGCACACCGAGCAGCGUCCUCCUCUAGCGGGUCUUCUCCCGCAGGAUUCUCCAUCCCCGGUGCCAGUGAUACAUACACUGUGCACCGGUCGACAUCGCCGAUCUACAAAAAGCAACAAAGAUGAGCCAGCCACAUACGAUAUACGAAUACUAAAACAAAAUAAUCUGCAACAUACCUUUGGUGCUGGUCGGCCUAACUUGAAGGCUUGCACCCGAUCACUGCCACGGAUGAAGCCUCCGUCCGCGAAGUUGAACAGCUCGUUCAACAGCCGUUGUACCUCCGCCUUCUCCAAGAUCUCCGGUCGCAUCCUGGUCGGGUCCACGCUUCCGGCAUACUCGUACGCCGAGUGCACCCUCUUCUGGCAGGGCAUCACCCGACGACAAAUAAAGUUGCCGACCACGCCCAGUCCAUCCAGGCGCGACCAGUCGAUCAGCUUCAUCAGAUCCGCCACUUGACCGUCGAAGUCCGGGCGGUCGGUCCAGCUCACCCUCUUCUCGGGAAUGUACCCCACGUCGCAGAACGUGGAGCUGCCCGGUUCCUCCCUGACGUAGAACCACUUCCUAUACCAUUCGGUCAAGGAAGUGUUCCAUGGACAGUGAAGGUAGUGAUUCUUCAUUCCAUCACGAAGGUUGAGGUAUACUCCACCUGCAACCUUGGAGCCUCCAACUGCUCCCUUCUUCCUCAAGCAGAAAAGGUAACGAAAAAGAUCGAAGUGCGGCUCUAUGCCAACAUAGGCCUCGCACAGAUGAAUAAACGUGGAGAUAAGGAGAAUUGAGUUCGGGUGCAGAUUGCAAAUCCCGAUCUCAUAAUACAAAAGAAGAUCCUGGAGAAAAGGAUGAACCGGAACCCCAAAUCCCCUCUUAACGAAAUCUUCGAACACGACGAUCUCACCGGCACGAGGGUCGGGGAAGCUUUCUCCUUCCGGCGCUCUCCAGCCGCCAAGCUCCGAGCUGUGCAGGAGUCCCAUGUCGACGAGGUCACCGAGGGAUUUGGUGGUGCUGCGGGACUUCUUCCACUCCUUGGCCAUCAGUUCGGCCCUCUUCUUGGAGUCACUCUUCGCCAUUGGAGGUGAGAAGUGGAUUUGGGUUACGAAGAUGCAGGUGAUUGAAAGAGGCGAGAAUGGAAGGCUUGAGGGCAAUGGCAGGGUAAGGAGUACAAGCGGAACUGUCAGGCUCUUAUAACCCGCAACUCCACCUCUCCCAUUUCCUGUAUUCUCGGGAAGUGGGCGGGCCAUGCGGCGGAUGCGGCGUUUCGGUUUACAGACAAUUAAUGCGGCGGAGUUUUCGUACCAAUUGAUGGUUUCCUUUUUCUCAAACCACGCAAAGGGCGGCUGCACAGUUGCCAGGCGCAACUUUUCAUGCGUCCAUCUGACAACCCAUCAGGAGGUCUCGUCAUGUCAACUUUAACGGAAAAGAUCGUUUCAAUAAAAAGAAGACAAAUAUGCCAGAGAGUCAACAAUCCGGGGACUGCACCGACCACCGAGCAAUUGAUGCUCGGGGACUGGUCGACCAGUCCAUCAGCUCGGAACUUCAAGGACUGCACCGACCACCGAGCAAUUGAUGCUCGGGGACUGGUCGACCAGUCCAUCAGUUCGGAACUUCAAGGACUGCACCGACCACCGAGCACUCGACGCUCGGGGACUGGUCGCCCAGUCUAUUAGCUCGGAACUUCAAGGACUGCACCGACCACCAAGCACUUGACGCUCGGGGACUGGUCGCCCAGUCUAUCAGCUCGGAACUACAAAGACUGCACCGACCACCGAGCACUCGAUGCCCGGGGACUGGUCGUACAGUAUAGCAACGCAGAAUUCUAAGGAGCGCACUUGGUGCUUGGGGACUGGUCGUCAUACUAUUAUACACCCGGGGACUGGUCGAUUAGUCUAUUCAAUUGCAGACGGACUGGUAAAUUCAAUUUUUUAGACCUUGCUACAAGGCUCAUACUUCGCCUUCCAGCAAGCUCGGGGACUACAUCGGUACGAUGCAUCUAACGAUGCAUCUCAGUUACAGAAUUUCUUUGAGGACUUUUAUUUUGACCCUGGCACCACGUGCCCACGUCACCUACUACCAGGCUCGGGGACUAAGUGGGCACACUUCACCUUGCGGUGAAUAUGCUUGCUUUUUUGAAGUUUAUACCUUUCAAAAAAGUAAAGUGGGCACACUUCACCAGGAAAGAAAUCUUUUUUAAUUUGGAGCACCAUGCAUUCUUCGAACAACUCGCUUCUUCGAUGUCAAUGUUGAUCAACUGUCUUUUGAGUUGGUCAAAGAACCGUUGCAACUGUUUGGGCGACUUUCCCACUUAUUGAAGACGUCAAGUCUCACUGAUCGAAGAAGCUCAAGACGGCGUGUUACAUCACAAUACGUGGUGCUCGGGGACUAGCUGUGGGGGUAUAAACCCCUAUACCCUUACGGCUAGACUUCGGCCAGGAGGCUUGGCCCAUUACGAGACGAGUUCAAGGCUUGAUCCGACAACCUGGAGUUUCGCGCAAGGAAACAAGAUGUGGAGAUCAAGCAGGAUUCUAGUCGGUUAGAAUAGGAAUUGAUAUCGAAUUAUCCAUGGCAAUUGUAACCGACUAGGAUUAGUUUCCAGAUCUGUAACCCUGCCCUCCAGACUAUAUAAGGAGGGGCAAGGGACCCCCCUAGGACAUUAUAUUCUCUCAACACAAAUCAAUACAACCAGACGCAGGACGUAGGUAUUACGCCAACUCGGCGGCCGAACCUGGAUAAAAAGCUUGUCCGUGUCUUGCGUCACCAUCGAGUUCGUAGUUUGCGCACCGUCUACCGAUAAACUACUACCGUGGGUAUACCCCAAGGUAGACUGCCGACCAGCUUUCGUCGACACCAAGUAACUUCUUUUUUUACCUGUGUUGUGUGUCAGUGUAAACCCUUGAAAUUACUUUCAUUUUGUAAAAACUACACUACAACUUUAUAUGUAAAAACUCAGAGAUCCAGUUAUUUUAAAUUUGCUCUGUUGGAGUGUAUUUUUAAUUUUCUAUUCCUAUUUCUAUUCUUGUAAUAUAUAUGUUAAAACAUCCACUUUAGAUGAAGCCUCACUGAGGAGGGAGGAAAAAAAUAUGCAAUAGCGUAAUCGUCGAGCUCAAAUGACCGACGAACAAAGAGAAGAAAUUAGGAUAAAGCACCAUGAGUACCAGUGUAAUUAUCAAGCACGGAAGAAAGCUACGUCCCAAAAUGCUACCACUUCCCAUACUUUUGGUGAAAUAGUGCCAAAUUCUUUAACUAUAGGUAUGUUAUCUCUUUGAUUCACAUUUUGUAUUACACCAUAAACUCACGUAUAUAUCAACCCACUGGGCAAACUUCCAUUGUGCAGUUGACAACAAAAUUAUGCAAGUACUAAUUGUUGUGGUAUGGAGCAAGACACACCAAUUAUAUUGGACAAGGAAAAUAUCCCACCAGAUAAAUACGCCCGUCUUCUGGCAUAGACGACUUUAUGUUGGUUCAUCAAAGAGGGUGUCAAGAUCAACAACUAGAAUUCUAGCAAAACCAACAGAGAAAUUGGAUCCUAUAGGGAAGAGCACCAAAAAUAUAGUUUAUAAAUACGCCCUAACUUAGUGAAUGAUGGUGCGUAUAAUUAGACUAUUUUAUUAUAUUUCAUUGUAUAUAAAUCAUCUGAAUUUUAUAUUCUUGGGUAUGUGCUUCAUGCUUUUAUUUUUAAGCAUCAUUUCAAUUUAGUGGGUUAAUACUUAAUUAAUGGUUUAUCAAUACUGGAACCUAAUUUAUGUUCUGUUGCUUCAAUGUUCUUCUGGACGGUGUCUGGUGACAGUAUAUAUGUUUCAUCUAUCUCUUAUAUGAUGUUUGGGUUCAAAACUUUCAGAUUCUUCUGGCUGAGAAAACAGAAGGAGAAUCUGGUUCCUAUAGCAGGUCUGACAAGAGAUGGAAAGGCAGAAGUGGAGGCUGAUGAUCCAUGAGGAGGGAAUUUCUACAGUCAGUCAUAUAUAUACAUGGUGCCAGGAACAUUCAAACUUUAAAUACUGAACGCGAAAUCCGUGAAUAUUCACCGAACUAGACAAAAGCAAAUGACCUUGCAGAAUUCAGUUUUCUCUUAAAUAAUUAAUACUGCACGUAUAAAGGCAGACAUAGCACAUAUAUGCUAUAACUAUUUUCUACUAUAAUUAGGCCUUGUUUAGUUACGAAAACAUUUUGGUUUUCGGGACUGUAGCACUUUCGUUUUUAUUUGACAAACAUUGUUCAAUCA
rnacentral:lncRNA from 1 species